GUCUACAGCCAUACCACCUUGAACAUGCCGGAUCUCAUCUGAUCUCAGAAUCUAAUCAAGGCCAGGCAUGGUUAGUACUUGGAUAGGAGCAAUUACAUGAUACAAUGUACA
ensembl:rRNA 5S_rRNA 5S ribosomal RNA